AAGAAUCGUGGAUAAGAAAUAGAUUCGCCUGCCGCUGGUCAUUGACAAUACAACCAUGAUAAUGGUAUGACUUGCCCAUCACAGUCGUUAUGUUCUGCUGUGGUUAUAAUAUACUUGCCAACGGAGGGCACAUAAGACUUUUAGGUUCUCCAAAGGCCAUGAAAAGUAAAAACCCCACAGUGGCCUCCCCGGAAUUUGAACCACCGUCUGAUUGGAAGUGUUAAGCAUUGUGAAAAGUACGGACGGAGGAGCAUGACACUUCAUCACGGGUUUCUAUGAAGUAUGAGCUGGAUAAAGAUCAGACCGUACCUGAAAAUUAAGGCAGUUUUAUCAAUAUGGGAUGUAUGAGCUUUGAGUUUGCUCCCUAAAUAAAUGCCCAGUUUGCUAGUAUAAGAAGAAAUGUUAGAUGCUAAAGACUUUCUUCCUCCAGUCUCUCCUCUCUCGAAACAAAUCCUUAACGUUAUUAAGUAAAUCUUUCGUCAACACAUUUUCUUUUUUAUGCCUAUUAAUACUGCAGUUGCUUCAGUUAAAUCACAUCGCAAUUAAAUAGGUGCAAAAUUCUUCGAUUCAAGAAACCUAGGUGUAAAAAUGACGAAACAUAAUUCUUAACGCACAGAAGAUGUGAUCACUUCUGUGUUUCAGCUUUAGACAAAUAAACCUACAUGGUAUGGUAUUGUGCAUAUACUGUCGAAUAUGUUGUAGAUAUAUUGUCGAAUAUUUUUUGAACAAAUUGUCUCCUGUGUUUAAACUGAAAUAGUAGGCAAUCAAUUCAGAUACAGAAAUAAAUGAUUCACAGUUAACCAACGACAAAUCUUAUAGUAGUGAGGAUUUCGAUAGUAAUCAAUAUUAAUUAAUAAUAAUUUCUUCACAGGUAUAGAGCAACAUAAGGGCAAAACUACUUAUGACGCGUAUGAAAAGGACUAAAAAUAAACAAACUUGUUAGACAUAACUUUUCUACGGAAAAACAGAGUUAAAUAUUCAAACUGAAGAUAGCCUUUCAAGUUCGAUAAAAAUCAAGAAUGAUGUUUGAACUCAAUAGUAAUGGUAUUCAAAACUAUUAUAAAGAGACAGACUCUUUCCUCUCAUUAUAUCUUUGAGAAGUAAUUAAAAGAUAUGAUUCUAAGAGCAACUGCAGAUGGCAUUCAUAUAAUGAUCAGAAUACUCACAUGUCUAAAAUAAGCUUCUUUAAUUCUGAUAUCUGUCUUAGAUACUUAGGAAUUCAGAAAAUUAAUAGUUUUUCCUGUCUUAACUCUCAUCAAUGUUGUUAAUAUUAUUGCACCAUAAAUAGACAAAAGAAAUGCGGCAUCUAACACACAUUUAAAUGUUUCAUGAAAUAAUAUUAAACUGAUUUUAAAAGAAAACUAAAACAGAAGUUAGUAAAAUUAUAAUCAGCUCUGAAUUCGUAUACUAGUCUGAGACAUGUACAGUUCAAAAAAAUGAAGAAUCUUUGAAAGAAAAAAGUACUGUAAAAGAUUUUCGGUGGUAUACAAAUAAAGAAUUUGUGAAAACGGGACUUCAAUUCAGAGUCUUUAUCAAGCCUGUGAUGAAUCAGAUGUAGUUGAGAUCACAAAAUUAAAUGUACAGAAUUUCUAUAAAUGUUUACUCUGGUUACCCUGAUUUGCAACACCCAUACUGAUUGUUCUAAUUGCCUGUUUUUCGUACCUGGUGCCCUUGGAAUCUUUGAAAUAAUUUGCGGUAGUGUCACGUACACCACGUUUGCCGCUAGAAUCGCUGUUUGAGUUCAGCGAGAAAAUGGCUUCCUGAUAAAUGUGUUGUAUGGCUUGCAGAAAUAAAAUCUUCA